rnacentral:rRNA from 1 species
GAUGAACGCUGGCGGCGUGCCUAAUACAUGCAAGUCGAGCGAACAGACGAGGAGCUUGCUCCUCUGACGUUAGCGGCGGACGGGUGAGUAACACGUGGAUAACCUACCUAUAAGACUGGGAUAACUUCGGGAAACCGGAGCUAAUACCGGAUAAUAUAUUGAACCGCAUGGUUCAAUAGUGAAGGACGGUUUUGCUGUCACUUAUAGAUGGAUCCGCGCCGCAUUAGCUAGUUGGUAAGGUAACGGCUUACCAAGGCAACGAUGCGUAGCCGACCUGAGAGGGUGAUCGGCCACACUGGAACUGAGACACGGUCCAGACUCCUACGGGAGGCAGCAGUAGGGAAUCUUCCGCAAUGGGCGAAAGCCUCACGGAGCAACGCCGCGUGAGUGAUGAAGGUCUUCGGAUCGUAAAACUCUGUUAUUAGGGAAGAACAAAUGUGUAAGUAACUAUGCACGUCUUGACGGUACCUAAUCAGAAAGCCACGGCUAACUACGUG